rnacentral:rRNA from 1 species
AUCAAAAACAUCACCUCUAGCAUAAUAAAUAUUAGAGGCACUGCCUGCCCAGUGACAAUAGUUAAACGGCCGCGGUACCCUGACCGUGCAAAGGUAGCAUAAUCACUUGUUCUCUAAUUAAGGACUUGUAUGAACGGCCACACGAGGGUUUUACUGUCUCUUACUUCCAAUCAGUGAAAUUGACCUUCCCGUGAAGAGGCGGGAAUAACAAAAUAAGACGAGAAGACCCUAUGGAGCUUUAAUUAAUCAACUCAAAAACUACAAACCUAAACCACCAAGGGAUAACAAAGCUUUAUAUGAGUUGACAAUUUCGGUUGGGGUGACCUCGGAGUACAAAAAAGCCUCCGAGUGAUUAAAACCUAGGCUCACCAGCCAAAGUGUAAUAUCACUUAUUGAUCCAAAAUUUUUGAUCAACGGAACAAGUUACCCUAGGGAUAACAGCGCAAUCCUAUUCUAGAGUCCAUAUCGACAAUAGGGUUUACGACCUCGAUGUUGGAUCAGGACAUCCUAAUGGUGCAGCCACUAUUAAUGGUUCGUUUGUUCAACGAUUAAAGUCCUACGUGAUCUGAGU